GCUGUUGUAUGCCGAAUUGCACGGGCAAUUACGAUAAUGGACCUAAAGUCAGUGUAUUUUAUUUUCCAUCUGACGAGGCUGGACACCGAGUAAGAACUCUGUUACAUGUGAACUGCAUUUGAACAAGGACGAUAUUGUAAGCAGUACCAGCAUGUAUGACCCGAAAACUGGUAUACUCUUGACAGCACCGUUGGAUCGUCGACGCUUGAGAAAAGAUGCUAUCCCAUCGAAGUUACCUGGCUGCCCAUCUUACUUGUCGAGUCAUCAAACUGCAGUACGAG